ACCUGGCAGCGACAUCUGUCACUCCACUCAUCACCAGGGUUGAUUCAGCUGUUCUGGCUGCCUAGGCAGGUAUCUGGACCUU
rnacentral:snRNA from 1 species